ACGGGGCGCAGCAGGCGCGAAACCUCUGCAAUGGGCGAAAGCCUGACAGGGUUACUCUGAGUGAUUUCCGCUAAGGAGAUCUUUUGGCAGCUCUAAAAAUGGUGCAGAAUAAGGGGUGGGCAAGUCUGGUGUCAGCCGCCGCGGUAAUACCAGCACCCCGAGUGGUCGGGACGAUUAUUGGGCCUAAAGCAUCCGUAGCCGGUUGUGCAAGUCCUCCGUUAAAUCCAGCCGCUCAACGGAUGGGCUGCGGAGGAUACUACAGAACUAGGAGGCGGGAGAGGCAAGCGGUACUUAGUGGGUAGGGGUAAAAUCCUUUGAUCCAUUGAAGACCACCAGUGGCGAAGGCGGCUUGCCAGAACGCGCUCGACGGUGAGGGAUGAAAGCUGGGGGAGCAAACCGGAUUAGAUACCCGGGUAGUCCCAGCUGUAAACGAUGCAGACUCGGUGAUGGACUAGCCUCGUGUCAGCCCAGUGCCGCAGGGAAGCCGUUAAGUCUGCCGCCUGGGGAGUACGGUCGCAAGACUGAAACUUAAAGGAAUUGGCGGG
rnacentral:rRNA from 1 species